rnacentral:misc_RNA from 1 species
UGUUCUUGAGGCGUCUGGCCAGGUGGCGCUCCGGGCAGGUGAGUCCUAGGAACCAGAGCUGGAAGCGCCAGCCGAUGGAGGUCGUGGGCAGGCUGCCGGCCCGGCCCUUAGGCAUCUGAGUCAGGCAGAGGUGGUCAGCCUGGCCGCUCGUCCGCUGCCGCCGCCCACUGCCCACAGCGGCACUCCUACCUCGGCCUACUUGGGUGUCCCCGCCUCUGAUACCUCCCUGCUGGAGGAAACAGCAGGAAAAGAGAACCAGGCAGGCAGGCAGACAUCCCCACGGAGCAGCGUUGGGCCCCCAAGGUGCCUGACCCACUUCCUAGAGUACUGAACAGUCCCAGAGUGUCACAGCUGAUGUGCAGGACAGCCUGGAGCUCUCACCUUCAACACGGGGUGU